rnacentral:misc_RNA from 1 species
GAUGAAGAACGUAGCGAAAUGCGAUAAGUAGUGUGAAUUGCAGAAUUCAGUGAAUCAUCGAAUCUUUAAACGCACAUUGCGCCCCUUGGUAUUCCAUGGGGCAUGCCUGUUCGAGCGUCAUUUGUACCUUCAAGCUCUGCUUGGUGUUGGGUGUUUGUCUCGCCUCUGCGUGUAGACUCGCCUCAAAACAAUUGGCAGCCGGCGUAUUGAUUUCGGAGCGCAGUACAUCUCGCGCUUUGCACUCAUAACGACGACGUCCAAAAGUACAUUUUUACACUCUUGACCUCGGAUCAGGUAGGGAUACCCGCUGAACUUAAGCAUAUCAAUAAGCGGAGGA